UACGUAGGUGGCGAGCGUUGUCCGGAUUUACUGGGCGUAAAGAGCGCGCAGGCGGCUGGUCAAGUCCGAUGUGAAAGCUCCCGGCUUAACUGGGAAAUUGCAUCGGAAACUGAUCGGCUGGAAGGUGGGAGAGGGUAGCGGAAUUCCCGGUGUAGUGGUGAAAUUCGUAGAUAUUCGCAAGAACACCAGUGGCGAAGGCGGCUCACUGGCCCGGUACUGACGCUGAGGUGCGAAAGCGUGGGGAGCAAACAGG
rnacentral:rRNA from 1 species